UACGGAGGGUGCAAGCGUUGUUCGGAAUUACUGGGCGUAAAGCGCGUGUAGGCGGUCGAGUAAGUCAGAUGUGAAAGCCUUCCGCUUAACGGAAGAAGUGCAUUUGAAACUACUCGGCUGGAGUACGGGAGAGGAGAGUGGAAUUCCCGGUGUAGAGGUGAAAUUCGUAGAUAUCGGGAGGAACACCAGUGGCGAAAGCGGCUCUCUGGUCCGAUACUGACGCUGAUACGCGAAAGCGUGGGGAGCAAACAGG
rnacentral:rRNA from 1 species